rnacentral:rRNA from 1 species
GACGAACGCUGGCGGCGUGCUUAACACAUGCAAGUCGAACGGAAAGGCCCUGCUUUUGUGGGGUGCUCGAGUGGCGAACGGGUGAGUAACACGUGAGUAACCUGCCCUUGACUUUGGGAUAACUUCAGGAAACUGGGGCUAAUACCGGAUAGGAGCUCCUGCUGCAUGGUGGGGGUUGGAAAGUUUCGGCGGUUGGGGAUGGACUCGCGGCUUAUCAGCUUGUUGGUGGGGUAGUGGCUUACCAAGGCUUUGACGGGUAGCCGGCCUUAGAGGGUGACCGGCCACAUGGGGACUGAGAUACGGCCCAGACUCCUACGGGAGGCAGCAGUGGGGAAUAUUGCACAAUGGGCGGAAGCCUGAUGCAGCAACGCCGCGUGCGGGAUGACGGCCUUCGGGUUGUAAACCGCUGUCGCCUGUGACGAAGCGUGAGUGACGGUAAUGGGUAAAGAAGCACCGGCUAACUACGUG